CAGCAGCCGCGGUAAUACGAAGGGUGCAAGCGUUAAUCGGAAUUACUGGGCGUAAAGCGUGCGUAGGCGGUGAGUUAAGUCUGCUGUGAAAUCCCCGGGCUCAACCUGGGAAUGGCAGUGGAUACUGGCUCGUUAGAGUGUGUCAGAGGAUGGUGGAAUUCCCGGUGUAGCGGUGAAAUGCGUAGAGAUCGGGAGGAACAUCAGUGGCGAAGGCGGCCAUCUGGGACAACACUGACGCUGAGGCACGAAAGCGUGGGGAGCAAACAGGAUUAGAUACCCCCGUAGUCCCUGUCUCUUAUAA
rnacentral:rRNA from 1 species